ACGUAGGGUCCGAGCGUUGUCCGGAAUUACUGGGUAUAAAGGGUGCGCAGGCGGGUAUUUGCGUCGGGUGUUAAAGAUCAGAGCUUAACUCUGGGAAUGCAUCCGAAACGAGAUAUCUUGAGUAUGAGAGAGGUAGGUAGAAUUCAUGGUGUAGCGGUGAAAUGCGUAGAUAUCAUGAGGAAUACCAGUGGCGAAGGCGGCCUACUGGCUCAUUACUGACGCUCAGGCACGAAAGCGUGGGGAGCAAACAGG
rnacentral:rRNA from 1 species